CCCAGAAUCGAUGCUUUUCGCAGCGCCGGCAGAGCUCUCCGGCUGUCUCAGCAGAGAUCGGACCUGAAUGAAACGCAAAGGCCAGAAUCUCGCUUUGUGUGAAAGUGGUGUCACUCCUGAUUUGAGUGGAAGACUUUGGUGCACGUUUUAGCUGCCUGUGAAUCUGGCAUCCGUAAUGGUCAGUGGCAGCACACAAAGGGUCGAGCUUGGUCAGUGAGUGCAUCACCGUGGUGGGCAAGCUCAGAAUAGAAAGUAUUGCUAUAGCAUCAGUGUUUGUGGUCAUCUGAAGUGUUGGAGUCACCUUGCACAAUGCUGUCUUUGAAUGCAGCUUACUUCCUCUGUGCAGAGAUCAAAGACCACGAGGCCAGAAUAGCAGCUAGACCAGAACUGAGCCACUGGGGUUUUGGCCCCAAACAGAAAUUUGUGAGACAAAACUGUGCUGUUUGUUUGAAGGGAUGCAAUACUAGAGACAGAACUUCUUCAGACGGAUGCUGAUGACCAAUCUGCUGAAAGGGGAAGAAUGGAGUAAUCGUCUGGAAUAAGUAACCCUUAGCUCCUGCAGCACCAAAAGCCUGCAGCUCACAAGAUCCUAUUUCAUUUUCUUGGUGUUCCUGGCUUUGAGGAAGCUCCAAGACUGGGUUUGAAGGUCCCAAAGGCUGUUCCAGCCACCUAAAUAAAAGCACAUUUAUUACCUGUGUAUCAGAACUCUCUGAAUGGGUAAAAAAAAAAGUUAGUUUAUCAGGCUCUCUUUCCCUACACCAAACUCUUCCAAAGGCAAUGAUGCCUCUGAAACUGCAUAUUGUUUACUUCAGCUCAAAAUGUGAUCUGUGUUUUUCUAAAGAUUCAGCAUGUUGUUCAGCUCAGCAGCCAAUCUGCCCAUUGUAGACUAUGGCUGUGGGUGGUGGGGAAGACAGAGCCACCUUCGUGCUUCAAAACACUUCCCUUGCAGAUACAGCCAUUAAAUAGACAAAUUGUUUGGCUAAGGCUGGAACCUGAUGUACGCUCAUUAAAGUCUGCUGGCAAUUUCUCCUGAA